GACGAACGCUGGCGGCGUGCUUAACACAUGCAAGUCGAACGGAAAGGCCCUGCUUGCAGGGUACUCGAGUGGCGAACGGGUGAGUAACACGUGGGUGAUCUGCCCUGCACUUCGGGAUAAGCCUGGUAAACUGGGUCUAAUACCGGAUAGGAGCCAUUUUUAGUGUGAUGGUUGGAAAGUUUUUUCGGUGUAGGAUGAGCUCGCGGCCUAUCAGCUUGUUGGUGGGGUAAUGGCCUACCAAGGCGGCGACGGGUAGCCGGCCUGAGAGGGUGGACGGCCACAUUGGGACUGAGAUACGGCCCAGACUCCUACGGGAGGCAGCAGUGGGGAAUAUUGCACAAUGGGCGCAAGCCUGAUGCAGCGACGCCGCGUGGGGGAUGCCGGCCUUCGGGUUGUAAACUCCUUUCGCUAGGGACGAAGCUUUUGUGACGGUACCUAGAUAAGAAGCACCGGCUAACUACGUG
rnacentral:rRNA from 1 species